rnacentral:rRNA from 1 species
AUUGAACGCUGGCGGCAGGCCUAACACAUGCAAGUCGAACGAGUGGCGGACGGGUGAGUAAUGUAUGGGAAACUGCCUGCUGGAGGGGUCUAACUAAUAGAAACGGUAGCUAAUCCCGCAUACCAUCAAAUGUGCCCAGAUGGGAUUAGCUUGUUGGUGGGGUAGCGGCUCACCAAGGCGACGAUCCGUAGCUGGUCUGAGAGGAGGACCAGCCACACGGGAACGGAGACACGGUCCAGACUCCUACGGGAGGCAGCAGUGGGGAAUAUUGCACAAUGGGCGCAAGCCUGAUGCAGCCAUGCCGCGUGUAUGAAGAAGGCCUUCGGGUUGUAAAGUACUUUCAGCGGGGAGGCGUUACCCGAAGAAGAAGCACCGGCUAACUCCGUGCCAGCAGCCGCGGUAAUUC